AUACGUAGGGGGCUAGCGUUGUCCGGAAUUACUGGGCGUAAAGGGUGCGUAGGCGGCUUUGUAAGUCAGAUGUGAAAUCCCACGGCUUAACUGUGGUAAGCAUUUGAAACUGCAAGGCUUGAGUACAGGAGAGGAGAGUGGAAUUCCUAGUGUAGCGGUGAAAUGCGUAGAUAUUAGGAGGAAUACCAGUGGCGAAGGCGACUCUCUGGACUGUAACUGACGCUGAUGCACGAAAGCGUGGGGAGCAAACAGGAUUAGAUACCCUGGUAGUCCACGCCGUAAACGAUGAGUGCUAGGUGUUGGAGGGGACACCCUUCGGUGCCGAAGUUAACACAUUAAGCACUCCGCCUGGGGAGUACGGUCGCAAGACUGAA
rnacentral:rRNA from 1 species